ensembl:snRNA U6 U6 spliceosomal RNA
GUGCUCGCUUCAGCAGCACACAUACUAAAACUGUAAUGAUACAGAGCUUAGCAUGGCCACUGUGCAAGGAUAAUAUGCAAAUUCAUGAAGCAGAGCUGGUAAACAACUUU